AAUGGGUCAGCGACUUAUAUUCUGUAGCAAGGUUAACCGAAUAGGGGAGCCGAAGGGAAACCGAGUCUUAACUGGGCGUUAAGUUGCAGGGUAUAGACCCGAAACCCGGUGAUCUAGCCAUGGGCAGGUUGAAGGUUGGGUAACACUAACUGGAGGACCGAACCGACUAAUGUUGAAAAAUUAGCGGAUGACUUGUGGCUGGGGGUGAAAGGCCAAUCAAACCGGGAGAUAGCUGGUUCUCCCCGAAAGCUAUUUAGGUAGCGCCUCGUGAAUUCAUCUCCGGGGGUAGAGCACUGUUUCGGCAAGGGGGUCAUCCCGACUUACCAACCCGAUGCAAACUGCGAAUACCGGAGA
rnacentral:rRNA from 1 species